rnacentral:siRNA from 1 species
UGAAAUCUCUCUCAACCUCUCCAC